rnacentral:rRNA from 1 species
AGCGAACGCUGGCGGCAGGCUUAACACAUGCAAGUCGAGCGGGCGUAGCAAUACGUCAGCGGCAGACGGGUGAGUAACGCGUGGGAACGUACCUUUUGGUUCGGAACAACACAGGGAAACUUGUGCUAAUACCGGAUAAGCCCUUACGGGGAAAGAUUAUCGCCGAAAGAUCGGCCCGCGUCUGAUUAGCUAGUUGGUGAGGUAACGGCUCACCAAGGCGACGAUCAGUAGCUGGUCNGAGAGGAUGAUCAGCCACAUUGGGACUGAGACACGGCCCAAACUCCUACGGGAGGCAGCAGUGGGGAAGUAUUGGACAAUGGGCGCAAGCCUGAUCCAGCCAUGCCGCGUGAGUGAUGAAGGCCCUAGGGUUGUAAAGCUCUUUUGUGCGGGAAGAUAAUGACGGUACCGCAAGAAUAAG